AGAGAUUGAACUGAAGAGUUUGAUCCUGGCUCAGAUUGAACGCUGGCGGAAUGCUUUACACAUGCAAGUCGAACGGCAGCACGGGAGCUUGCUCCUGGUGGC
rnacentral:rRNA from 1 species